GGAGAGAUGCCAGAGCGGAUGAAUGGAGCGGUCUCGAAAACCGUCAUACGAGUAAAAUCGUAUCGGGGGUUCGAAUCCCCCUCUCUCCGCCA
rnacentral:tRNA from 1 species